AGUGGCGAACGGGUGAGUAAAACAUCGGAACGUGUCCUGGAGUGGGGGAUAGCCCGGCGAAAGCCGGAUUAAUACCGCAUACGCUCUGUGGAGGAAAGGGGGGGAUCUUCGGACCUCUCGCUCAAGGGGCGGCCGAUGGCAGAUUAGCUAGUUGGUGGGGUAAAGGCCUACCAAGGCGACGAUCUGUAGCUGGUCUGAGAGGACGACCAGCCACACUGGGACUGAGACACGGCCCAGACUCCUACGGGAGGCAGCAGUGGGGAAUUUUGGACAAUGGGCGCAAGCCUGAUCCAGCAAUGCCGCGUGUGUGAAGAAGGCCUUCGGGUUGUAAAGCACUUUUGUCCGGAAAGAAAACCUCUGCCCUAAUACGGCGGGGGGAUGACGGUACCGGAAGAAUAAGCACCGGCUAACUACGUGCCAGCAGCCGCGGUAAUACGUAGGGUGCAAGCGUUAAUCGGAAUUACUGGGCGUAAAGCGUGCGCAGGCGGUUCGUUAAGACAGAUGUGAAAUCCCCGGGCUUAACCUGGGAACUGCAUUUGU
rnacentral:rRNA from 1 species